GUUUGCCAGAGGUUGUUUUCUGGCCAAAAAUUCUCAAUAUUGUACUGGAGUCUGUUGCAAACCUGUGGCAACAAUAUCUAUUGCCAAUAGUGGCAAAUAGUUUACCAGAAGCCGUUUCUGGUGAACACGAGUUCCAAGACCAGUAACCAUUGAUGAACAAUCAGGGGGAUUAGAAAAUGUUGGAAAAUGGAAACCAAGCUAUCUAGCUAGCUACCUACCAAAGUUGUCCAAUGGAUACUCUCUCUCUACCCGUAGUGUGGGAAGAGGCUGUAUUGGGAGAAGGAUGCAUCGACAGCCCAGAAAGACGUUUGGGAUGUACUAAAUCAUACUCAUUUAUAACUCAAAAAAGCAUUUGUCUUCAAGCUUGAUACAAAGCGAUCCGUUACAAGGCAAAAAUACAGAUUGAGGCCUUCAAUCAAACUGAAGACAGAGAAAUGUGUGUUCACCAGGUCAAGGCUUCUUACAUGCAUGGCGUUGAGAUGCAAGUUAAUUCAUUUAGGAAAUAUUAUUUGAAUUGGCAUAUUGCCAUACUUCCACCCAAGCCAUAUACACUUGAGUCAGGAAGAAGAGACAACUACAGUAGAAGACAACUGCCUCUUUAAUGAUGAAGUCCCCAGUCGAGAUAAACUAAUCAACUAAUUAUGAUAUUCUAAAUCAAUUGUGUUGAGGCUUGGCUAGAGAUCAAAUAUUGUACUCUAGGAACAGUUGGCCUCAUAUUUAAAAAAGGUAAAUUUAGUAGGCCUAAGUCCAUCGUUUGUUUAUAUAGCAUUUAUACAAGGCAGAAACAUUGUUUCCUUGCUGAAAGAAAUAGAGAAUGACAGUUUCAGUAUGAAGCAUUGCAAAGUCAUCAACUGAUGAUAUUGAUCUGUUACGACAUUAAAUACAUUGAAUGUU